GAAAACUAUUUUGCACUUGGUGUAAGAACACAGAGAAAUGUUUCUUUUAUAACGUUGGACAUUUUGUUUAACGUAGUGAUCGUACUUUUCACCUAAUUUUUCUGACUAUUUUCAUAUCUUGUUCGCCCGUGUUUCUUUGAUCUAUUUGUCUCGCGCGCAGAGAUGUGACAGCUAUGCCGUCACGUCCUCAGCUCUGUAUGAAUCAAAAAUAUGGCGGCUGCCAUGGAGCUGAGAUGCUGGGGAGGAGACUGGGGGCUUCCCUCUGUCCACACCGACUCUCUCGUAGUUCUGGCCUAUGCAAAGUUUUCAGGAGCAAAGCUCUCAGUUUCUCCUGUGGACUGGACAUGGAAAACCUUAACAGCGAGCGUCCCAGAGCUGGUUUGUGGAGACACUGUUGUUCAGGAACCAACACAGAUUCUGAACUUCCUGAGGAAACAGAGGUUUAAUGCAGACUAUGAGCUGACAGCCAGACAGGGAGCAGACACAAUGGCCUACAUCGCUCUACUUGAGGAGAAACUGCGACCAGCUCUGCUGCACACAUUCUGGGUGGAUGCAGAGAAUUACAGCAACCUGACACGGCCGUGGUUUGCUUCCCGCUCACCGUUCCCGCUAAACUUUUUCAUCCCGAGUCGCCUUGCAAAUGUCGCCCUCGCUCGCAUCCUGGUAACCAGAGGAGAGGGGCUGCUGCACAGGAUCUCUGAGGUGGAGGGAAAGAUCUACAGUGAUGCUAAAGAGUGCCUGAACCUCCUCUCCUACAGACUGGGAACUGCAGACUAUUUCUUUGACAACUCCCCAACCAGUCUGGAUGCCUUUGCGUUUGGUUUCUUGGCUCCGCUUCACAAAGCAGACCUGGCCAGCAGCCCUCUGCAGAGCCACCUCAGGCAGCUGGACAACCUCACUCGUUUCUGUGACAACGUCCUCGCAGCCCACUUCAGUCCGGAUGAACCCCGUCUUCUUCCGCCUGUUCAGGAAACAAUGGACGCCAACCUGCAGAAACUAACACAGCUUGUAAACAAAGAGUCCAACUUAAUAGAAAAGAUGGAUGACAACCUUCGCAGCAGCCCGCAGCACAAACCUCACAGAACCGAACCCAAACCCAGUCUGUCUUCUUCAAAGAACUCUACCCCGGCCUAACGACCGACCGUCCAGCUCUGAUCCAGCUGCACGACUCGCUGGGCAGUGCCGUGUUGACCUCAACCAAACCCAACAUACUGACAAGGGGGAAAAAAAAACUCAUGAACCAGGACUACUGUGGCUGAAAUGGAAGAAUUUUCAUUAAUCAUGUUAUUAAGACUGUAUAAUUAAGAGACUAUUUUUAUGACGACGAUGGAUUUUAAAGAUGUUCAUCAGGAACGAAGGAAAAGUGCAUGUGAGAUGUAUUUAUAAAAAUGAAGAGAGCAUGCAUGUGGUCAAGAGUGGAAAUCUACGAAGCGGUGCUGGAUGACGAAGACGCGAAAUAUUGAAAGGGACGCCAAAGGAACCGAAACGUCCAGAGAGGAACAUUGGUGGUGCACACUGCUUUUCUUUUAUCGUUCUGCUGAUUUUAUUUACAGGGAUAUACCUCUUAAGUUCUUCCUGCUUGAGGUGAUCUCUUGCAGCCUGUGUUGUGGUGCAGAUUUUUGUUAAAGCCUGAGAAUAUUUAAUAUCCGUCCAUUUAAAAAGCGUUAUUUACUGUGGAGGGUAUAUGCCGAGAGCACAGGAUGUUUUAUUUAGAUUUUUCGCAUCGGCUGUAAAACGUUCAGUAAUUUCUUUUGCAGUAGUAAAUCUAAAGUCUGCAUGCAAUCAGGAUGGCAGGCAUUCAGUCAGUUUUUCUUUUGUCGAGGGUUGCUUCCAUAGUUUUAAAUAAGAUGAUUAUAAUUGCUUUGUUGUGAUUUCCUCCUAUUAGGGCUGAUCAGUUUUGUCAAAAACACUAAAGAUUUGCACUUUGAAUCGACUUGCUCACGCAUAACAUUUGGGACUGAUUCUGUGUGUGUGUGCAUAUGUGUGUCUUAUUGUGACAUUUAACAAUCAAACCGCCUCGUUUGUUGCCUUCGUUUCUAUGCAGCUAUUUUUGCACAUUUAUUUGUUUUUUUCUGCCAUGUUUUGCGUGAUUUGCUGUGCCUGUUUAUUUCCUCUGUUUAAACCCAAGUGAGUCUCAUUAGCUGCUUUGCUUGUUUUUGUUUAUGGACUGAAUACUAUGAAGUUCUUCAUGCGUUAACAGGCCCCGUCUUUUCCAUCUUCUGACCAGACUUCCUCACAUUCAGUGUUACAUUCCCUCUGAAGCGCCAUCUUUUAGAAAUAUUGUUGCUGCCAGUCAACAGAUGGUUGCAGUGUGCCUUCAUGACUGCUGGUUUCUUCUUCCAAAAUGUUCCUGUCACACGGACAGGUUUUUGGGCGCCUCGUGCUUUCUCGUAACAACACCCACCUUUCCGAUAAAUGUGGCCCCUUGUUUGGAUGUUGGAAGAGACACAGAACUUCAGUCUGGUUUUGGCUGCAGAUGUGGAAAAAUGACGCUUUUGUUGACAUCAGAUACAGGCUAAGCUGGUCUUGUAAAAAGAGGCUCCUGCUGAGGUGCGUUAGUUUUAUAAUGCCUCGCAAAAGUAUUAAUACCUCUAGAGAUUUUUCAUGAUUGGGUUCAUUACGAUCACAAAUGUCAGACUGUUUUUAUUGGGGUUUUUACAGGGAUUGUCCUGAAUUUAGUUCAGACCAUCUACCCAUCAACUCUGACCUGUUUCCCCAGCUCUGCUAAAGAAAAACAUCCUUCCUCACAGCGUGAUGCUGAAGUGUUCGACAUGAUGAAGGCAGAAAGUAUAAUUUCAGAAAAGCCAUGCAGCAGCAGAGCAGUCCAACUCCUGAAGCCGAGACCACUAAGUGUCCCUGAUAGGUUGCAUGUGUGUGCCCUCCUCUGUCCCACUUUCUCUUCCCCCUUAGAAAAGGUGAGUGGCUGCACAGUAGCUGAACAACGUGUCCUUCGGGAAAGUACAACAGCGGGUGACAUUGGCUUCAAAAGGCCUUUUUUAUUUUUAAUAAAGAAGUUUGAAUUAGUGAAACAGAUCACUAAGUAGACAUGUUUCUACAAAUGUGUAAGUCCUGGUUUACAGUGAAGCCAGGUCUGGUUUUAUUAUUUAUGGGGGAAAUGUACUGGAAAACAUUACAGCAGAUGGCGUGCUGAGGCCCUCUAGCGGUGAAAUGAUGUUAAACCAACAAAACUAUCUUAAAAACAUCCAGACUUUUCAGAAAAAGAAAUUAUUUUACAAAAUAAUAAAAAUAAGAGUUUCAGUAACACAUAACGCUGACGAGAGGCCACUUCUGUUUAAAAAGGUUAUUUACAAAAAAAAAGAACAAAAAAACUUCACAGUAUGAAACGGUUUGAAAGCAGCAACUAUCAGCUUGGAAGUAUAAACUUACAGUCGUACUAUGAGAAGAGAAGCCCUGAACUACAUACACUAAAUGCAAACGAUGUUUGAUUUGACAACAUGCAUGCCCACCGGAUCAUGUAACAUGUAGAAAAACAUAAAAUAGUAUUAAAACGGUACAAAACUCAAACAGGGAUGAGUCAUUACAAAAUUACCACAGCAUUCCCAUUGUCUCUU